rnacentral:rRNA from 1 species
AUUGAACGCUGGCGGAAUGCUUUACACAUGCAAGUCGAACGGUAGAGGGGGCAACCCCUCGAGAGUGGCGAACGGGUGAGUAAUAUAUCGGAACGUGCCCAGUCGUGGGGGAUAACGUAGCGAAAGUUACGCUAAUACCGCAUACGAUCUAAGGAUGAAAGCGGGGGAUCGCAAGACCUCGCGCGAUUGGAGCGGCCGAUAUCAGAUUAGGUAGUUGGUGGGGUAAAGGCUCACCAAGCCAACGAUCUGUAGCUGGUCUGAGAGGACGACCAGCCACACUGGAACUGAGACACGGUCCAGACGCCUACGGGAGGCAGCCGUGGGGAAUUUUGGACAAUGGACGCAAGUCUGAUCCAGCCAUUCCGCGUGCAGGAUGAAGGCCCUCGGGUUGUAAACUGCUUUUGUACGGAACGAAAAGGUCUCUCUUAAUACGGGGGGCUCAUGACGGUACCGUAAGAAUAAGCACCGGCUAACUACGUGCCAGCCGCCGCAGUAA